rnacentral:sRNA from 1 species
CAGUCCUGAUCUCCUUUCCCUCUCUAUGGAUGUAUCUAUUCUGGACAUUUCAUAUAAAUGGGUUCAUACAAUAGGUGGCUUCUUUUACUUUGUGUAAUAUUUUUGACGUUUAUCCAUGUUAUAGCGUGUGGUGGUUCUUCCUUUUCUUGGCUGAGUAAUAUUCCAUCAUGUGGAGACAUCAUCUUUUGUUUAUCCGUUGCGCAGUUUGUAGACACUGGGUUGUUUCCACCUUUGGGCUCUUGUGAACAAUGCUGCUGUGAACCUCCGUGCACAAGGAUUUUCUUGGGGACCUGUUUCUUCCUCUCAUCCUUGCCUCCUACCACUCUCCCCAUUACCAUAUUUUUCCAAACCAGACAUCAGCGCACGAGCUACGUGUGUAUUUAGGAAAGCAUCUGUGGAGGGAAACAGCUUGCCUCAUGCUGCCCCUGCUUCCUGUCUACCCUUCUCCAAGCCUUUUUCGUCCGCUGUCACCUAGGCUUUUGGUUAAUCACAUGUUGGGAUUAAUCCCAUUUUGUCUUUGGGUAAUUAACAUGUGAUGUCCACGCAUUAUCUCCACGGUGAAAGUCUUAAGGUCAAGGUCCCUCUUGGGGUUCUGUGUCCCCUGCAGAGCUGGGCACAGCUUGGGGCAGCUAAGCAGUCCCCUAGUUCCUAGGCCCUUGCUUGCCCCGUGCCACCUGUCCACUGGUGACUAACCCUCUUGCACUCUGCCCUGUCCCCCUUGCAGAUGAUGUGCUGACUAAAGACGCGGGUGAGUGUGUGAUCUGCCUGGAGGAGCUGCUGCAGGGGGACACGAUAGCCAGGCUGCCCUGCCUGUGCAUCUAUCACAAAAGGUAGGAGGGGUUGGCAAGGUAGCUCAGUGCACACGACCUCCCAGAGGGGCGGACCCCCAUCUCCAGCCAUUCUCUCUCCUUUGGUUAUGGGAUGACCUCUCCCCCGACCUCUGGCUCCAAGUGGGUAAGGGCAGAGGCCGUCAGACAGGUGUCCACUGUGCUGGCGGGAAGGUGCGAGCAUCCCAAGCGCAGGGCAGAGUUGAGUUGCCAGAGGUGUGCUCUGGUUUGAGGGCUCAGGUGGUAGGAGCUGAUGGGGAGACCCGUAGAGCCUCACAGGUUGGAGGAGCUUAGAAUCCCACCGGGAAGGUUGGUUCUCCGUCUGUCUCCCUGCCUCUUCUUCCUCUACGGGCCCCUCUGCUGCACAGGGGGAGAACAUCAAUCUGUGCGAGGAAGGCCAGGCGGAGCGUGUACCCACUGCUUUGCACUGGCCUUCUCCCUAGAGGGCCAGGAGGCGGGAAGAGCCAUUUCCUGUGGGGCCACAGCACUGGGCGCAGUUAAAAGUAGCAGGGCCCAGAUAUGCCUUCGGACUCCAGUGUGAGCCUCGUCCUUGUUUCCAGCUGGAAGGAAGGCACCCUCUUGCCCAAGACAGGACACUGUGCUGCCUGUGGCAAGCACCUGCUGAAUCCUCGAGCCCAGAGCUUCUUCCUGACACUCAGGCCUUUCAAACCCUGACUCUCAGGGCCACUGCUGCAUAGGGUGACAACCGGGCAUGGCACGCAGUGUGGCUGGUGCAGAGGAGGCUCAAGGCUGGCCUGGGAGAGAUUCUUGGUCUAGCUCCCAGCACGGAGCCUUGCUUGUGUCCCAGGGAGGCACUAACCAGAACCAGAAAAGGAAAUCUUUGGCUCUCGGGGAGAAUUAUGCAAAUUAUCUGUCUGGUUCCUGUCUUUGAAAAUGCCCAGAUGUUGGUUUACAAAUCAGGAAGCUGUCUUGGGGCAAUCUCUGUUCUCUCUUUGAUGCAGAGAGCCUUUCUCUGUAAACACUGGAGAGCAGGGCUUCACUGUCUGGCUCCCCUCCCGCCUCUUGCAGGAAGGACUAGAUGCUGCUGAUCAGCUGAUCAUGGCUGAGCAGGGUAGAGCUUGGGGGCUCUCCUAAGAGGUCACCCACUGGGAGGGAGCCUCACAGCUGUUCUUUUGACCCAGAAAGGAGCUCUUUCAGGACCGUGGCACCCAGAGCCGUGGCCCUCCUGCCAUGCCAUUGUUCCCACUUCCCUGCCCUUGGAGUCUUGGUGACAGCUGACUAGCUGCCCUGAGGGGUCCACCACUCUCACCUUCUCAAUGGUGGCUGCUGCCAUCCUCCUGGGCUCUGUGCACAGAAAGCUUUGGUCCUUCUGAAGGCCACUCUGCCCCUUCCUGCAGCACCAGAUCCCCCUGAGCCGGUACCCACCACUGCUGCCUCCAGCUGGGCCAGACUAGUCUUGGUGUUCGCCCUUCUUCCUGCUUCGGAUAGUAGUGAUAUUUGGGAACAUGACUGUGUUUCCCUGGGGUCCUUUCAGAAGAGACUUAGGAAGCUCCUGCUCAGGAAUCUGGCCCUUUGAAAGAGCCCCUUCAAAGCAGCCUGGGCAGCAGGUAACGUGGUUUCCCUUGCGGCCCCCUCCCCCCAGCUGCAUAGACUCGUGGUUUGAAGUGAACAGAUCUUGUCCGGAACACCCUGCGGACUGACCUGCGGGCUUGCUUGCUGACUCCUCUCAAAGGUGAGCCCGCGUUUGGGGGUGCUCCAGGCUCAAGGCUUGGGGUCAGGUCACUUUGGGGGCCUGCAGUUUAGGGAGCUGGGCUGCCCUUAUGCCACUGAGAAGAAAGCAGGAGCAGAGGGAAGGAGCACCUUAUCAGUGAGCAGUUAGUCAUCCGGAAAUGAUUUUCCCUGGGAAGGACAAGAGAUACAAACCAACAUGGACAGUUAUGAAGAACAGGCUCAGAAGAGUUAGGAUCAGUUGGGGAAGAGACCAGUACAAUCUACAUUACUAAAGAAAGUUCAGGAAUAUCCCCUGGGAAUGUGCACUGGCAGGAAAAGGAGCCUGAGCGCUGGGUUUGUGCCUGGCUUGGCCUCAUCCUCGCUCACCUCUGAGUCUCCGCCUCUUCUCUCGUAACGGGGAUAAUCUCACUCCCUGUUGCCAUAAGGACAUUGCACUUACUAAACAGCCAUGGGCAGUGCAUUGUUCCCUGCAAAGUGCUGGUCAGCGAUCAUUUGACCACUGCUUCUUCCCAUGCCGCUUCCAGAUGAAUCUGAGGCCUCCAGGCCAGACUCGAUCCCUCCAUCCCACAGCACUGGGUGCUGACUCCACACAUCCCCCUGGCUUACUGCUGGGUCUGGCCUCCCCAUUUCUCCCCCAGGGGUACCCCGCUUGCUGCCAACCAUCCACCCCUGACCCCCAUCUCACCUGUCCCUUCCAAGUUCUGGGCUGGCAUUUUCCUUUUUCUGGCAAACAAGUAGACAAAACCCCCAUAAAAACCAAAAGCCCAACUCCAUCUCACAGCCAAAGGUUUUGGGGCCUCUUUUCUUCCCCCCUCCCUUUCUCUCUCUCUUGUUUUUGUUUUCUUUUGUUAGGUUUAUUUUAUUUAUUCCAAGUAAACUCCCAGAACAGAACAGCUGAUGAUGUCAGACAAAUCAGGGACAUGCUCUUUUUACCUCCACCUCAAAAACUGAUGACAAGGGGAGAAGAAAGAGCCAGGGGGAGAGCGAGGCAGGGGAGUAGAACCCGCCCAGGCACAUGGCUGCAAAUUCCCCGUGUGCUGUUUGGCUUCUGGGGUCCUGUGUAGACGCCCCAGCCCCGCCUGCCCUCUCGGGAUGCAGCUGCCCUGGGAUGAGCAGCCAGCCCGAUGGAGCACGACUUAUUUCUUACGGUCCACACAGGGACAGAGAGCCCCUGCUCCAGGGAGGAGGCUCACCGGACCCUGGGGCAGAGCUGAGCUUGGGACACCAGCGGGAACAGGGCACCCCUUCUGCACUGACUUCCAGAUCAUGGUUCUCCCUUCCUCCCUGAGGACACCAAAUUGGAUGAGAGCAAGUUUGAGAGAAGAAUGAAUCAACUGCUAUCCUUCCCCUCACCCCUCAGCCCAGGAGGGAAAGGGCAUUUUCUUUUUCAUCUUUGAAAGGCAUUGUGGGUCUGUCUUUAAAGUGUUUACAAAAAAAAAAUUAUAUAAAAAAAGUCUAGUGUCG